AGAAGUCCGUGUUCUCACACACACACACACACACACACUCGUGAUUGAGCUGAACACAGAUCAACAUUCCCUGCCAGCUCGAGUUCUCCAGCAGUCCUCAUCCAUGCAGCAUCAUCUUCACGUGCAGUGAGAGUGACUUUCCACAGGAGCGCUGAGAGAAAGCUCUUCACAGGGAGAGCAGGUGUGUGUGUGUGUGUGUGGCUGGCCACAAGGCCCAGAAGAGGUCAACCAAAUACACCAUGUCCACUGGGAAAAAUGCACCUGCUACAACAAACUCCAGACAGAUGUCCCUACAGGCCUGUCUCGAUGAAUGCAUGGAGGCCUUGGAUCUGUUUCUCAACAACCACUUCAAUGAGAGUUUGGACAAACUACGGCCACGGUGAGAGGAGUCUUUCUGUCUUCACCAGUUUCUCCUCCCCUCCAGUAUCUGUGGCUAAGGAGAGCAUGUAUCACGCUCUGAUCUAUGCCACAGUGUUAGAGAUGCAGGCCAUGAUGACCUUCCAACAAGACGACAUAGUGCAUGCUGGGAACACGAUGAAGAGGGCUCAGGAGGUGUGCCAGAGGUUCCGUAGGAAGUCUGGUGGUCUUGGGAGCCGAGGAGCAAAUGAUGAUCUUUCAGAAGAGCAGCUCCAUGCUGAAGUGUGUUACGCCGAGUGUUUACUGCACCGAGCCGCUCUCACAUUCUUACAGGAUGAGAAUAUGGUUAGUUUUAUUAAAGGAGGAAUCAAAAUACGGAACAGUUACCUCAUAUACAAGGAGCUAAGCGCAUUCGUCCAAUCAGACACCUCUUUCAAAGGACCGAACCACAAGCAUUUAGAGGGCGGAGUCUCUUUUGGGAUUGGGGCUUUCAAUUUGACUCUUUCACUGUUUCCUGCCCGGAUACUCAAACUGCUAGAGUUUGCUGGCUUUUCUGGAGAUAAGGAAUUUGGCAUCUCUCAGCUGUACACGGGUGCCACCUCUCAUACCCUGCGCUCCAUGCUGUGCGCCCUCCUCCUGCUUUGUUUCUACACAUUCCUCUCCUUUAUUUUAGGUACUGGAGAGGGGGAGGUGGAAGAGGCAGAGCGACUAUUGAAGCCAUUUCGACUGCGAUACCCACGUGGAGCGAUUUUCCUCUUCUUUGCAGGUCGAGCUGAAGAAAUAAAGGGUAACAUUGAUGAGGCGGUGGCGCUGUUUGAGGACGGCUGUAAGUCCCAACAGGCCUGGAAACAGUUUCAUCACAUGUGCUACUGGGAGCUGAUGUGGUGCUUCACAUUUAAGAAGCACUGGAAGAUGGCGUAUUUCUACGCAGACCUGCUCAGCCAGGAGAGCCGCUGGUCUAAGGCCAUGUACGUGUACAUGAAGGCAGCUUAUCUCAGCAUGCUUCCAGACACAGAAUCCCGGCCGUUUGGGGAUAAUGAAGUGGAUCUCUUUAGACAGGUACCAACAUACAGACAGAAGAUAGCAGGUAAAUCUCCACCCACAGAGAAGUUUGCCAUUCGUAAAGCGAGACGGUACAAAGCUAGCAAUCCAAUCAGACUUCCUGUGCCUGUUCUUGAGAUGAUGUACAUGUGGAAUGGUUUCUCCAUGAUCAGCAAACAGCCCGAGCUGACGGAGGGCAUGAUGGAGACGCUGGUAGAAGCAGAGCGCACCCUUCAGGCAGCUCCAGAGAAUGAGUACUCUGUGGACGACACGUGUGUGAUCCUGCUUCUGAAAGGCCUGUGUCUGAAGAACCAAGGCCAGACGCAGGCGGCAGAGGACUGUUUCAGACAGGUUUACAGCAGGCCAGUGCUUUUGUGUUACUGGAUUUGCCUUCACAAAUGCUUGUUCUGUCUCAGGAUGGUGUUUUUGAGAUGCUUUGUGUCGCUAACAGUGAAAAGAAGGUGAAAUUUGAUCAUUACCUGGUUCCUAAUGCUCUGCUAGAGAUGAGUCUGCUGUACAUCGACACGGGGAGGAAAGAGCAAGCCAUCCAUCUACUGCAGAAAGCCAAGAAAAACUACAAGGAGUACUCAAUGGAGUCUCGUACACAGUUCAGGGUCCACGCGGCGCUCACUAAACUUAAAGCUGACACCAAUGACCAAGAUGAAAUAACAACAUUGUAAGGAAAGAUGAUCCUGAGUCAAUGGCGUCUUUUCUCUGAGGACCAGACAGAGUUGGGAGAACGAAAGACCAAAGACACGGUGUAGUUUUUAUGCAUUGGUACUACCCAAUGUUAACCCGUCUCAUUUUUUUUUGGACGGUAUUAUGGGAAACACUAAAAACUUCAUUUGUACGUUCUCCUCCAGGAGGUUAGGUGCCAAAUUGAUGUUUAUUUUAGUCAGAUAAAAAAUAGAUGAAUGAAUAUUUGAAAUGUAAACCAGGGUUUAAGCUCCUUAAAAUGUAUUCAAAUGUACAUUUUAGGAAGCAUUAGAAAUCAAAUGAAUAUUUUUCUGUAAGUCCUGUACAGGUUUAAUAAGGGAAAUGACACUGUUUACAUAAAUUAAUUUAGACAAGCCAUUUUACACUUAGUUGUAAUGAUGAUUAAACAUGUUGAUUAUUGUAAGGCUGAGUAUGGGAUUUGAAUACUUUAUUAUUGAUUACUAUACUCCUUUCUUGAAUACAUCAAGAACGUUUAUAAUAAUCAAAUGCUUCAAAUAGCAUCAGUAAUAUUCAGCUGUCAAAUGCUAUGGUUAUUUUUUGAUAAUACAUUUUAUUAGUAGUUAAUAUUUAAUCAAUUAUUGAUGUUAAAAUAUUUUUGAAAUGUAUAAUUUCUGUAUAAUUAUAUAGUAAAUUAAGUCGUUCAAUCAAUGCAAUUAUUAGCAAUAAAUGCUCUGGGUUACUGUAUUAAUAAAUCAGUUUUGCAUGACAAAUUAUAACCAUCUGCUUUUUCAUGCAUAAGCUUAAUUGUUCUUAAAACAUUUGCUUUUUUUGCUUAAUGUAGAACGCUUCAGAAUUUUUAACGAGGAAUUAUUAUAUGCAUGUAUGAAUUAUAUAUGA